rnacentral:other from 2 species
GGGAAUCUGUGAUGUACGAGUUAUCCCACUUUAGUGUUGACCGAACAUUUUUAUUGAUAUCUUGGGAUCCGUCCGGUGUUAAAGUUAGUAACACGCCUUUUCACUUGGUAGUUCGAUACUUUGACCGUGGAACCCACCUGCUUGAACUUGCGGGAUCAAUACUCCGGGACAAGAAACGGCAUCAACGGUAACCCA